rnacentral:rRNA from 1 species
GACGAACGCUGGCGGCGUGCUUAACACAUGCAAGUCGAACGGUAAGGCCCUUCGGGGUACACGAGUGGCGAACGGGUGAGUAACACGUGGGUGAUCUGCCCUGCCCUUCGGGAUAAGCCUGGGAAACUGGGUCUAAUACCGGAUAGGACCACUGCCUGCAUGGGUGGUGGUGGAAAGCUUUUGCGGUGUGGGAUGGGCCCGCGGCCUAUCAGCUUGUUGGUGGGGUGAUGGCCUACCAAGGCGACGACGGGUAGCCGGCCUGAGAGGGUGACCGGCCACACGGGGACUGAGAUACGGCGCAGGCUCCUACGGGAGGCAGCAGUGGGGAAGAUUGCACAAUGGGCGCAAGCCUGAUGCAGCGACGCCGCGUGAGGGAUGACGGCCUUCGGGUUGUAAACCUCUUUCAGCACCGACGAAGCGCAAGUGACGGUAGGUGCAGAAGAAGGACCGGCCAACUACGUGCCAGCAGCCGCCGUAA